rnacentral:rRNA from 1 species
GGACCCGCACAAGUAGUGGAGCAUGUGGUUUAAUUCGAAGAUACGCGCAGAACCUUACCAACACUUGACAUGUUCGUCGCGACUUUAAGAGAUUAAAGUUUUCGGUUCGGCCGGACGAAACACAGGUGCUGCAUGGCUGUCGUCAGCUCGUGUCGUGAGAUGUUGGGUUAAGUCCCGCAACGAGCGCAACCCUCACUUUUAGUUGCCAUCAUUUAGUUGGGCACUCUGAAAGAACUGCCAGUGAUAAGCUGGAGGAAGGUGGGGAUGACGUCAAGUCCUCAUGGCCCUUACGUGUUGGGCUACACACGUGCUACAAUGGUAUCUAAACAGGAUGCAAAACCGCGAGGUUAAGCAAAUCCUUAAAAGAUACCUCAGUUCGGAUUGCACUCUGCAACUCGAGUGCAUG